AUCUGCACACGUGGCACUUAUCCAUAACUUCGUUCGCUUCAAACAACGCGUCGUCAAAAUCACGGCUGAUCCCAGCAGUACUAACAGUGGAAGUCACAAGGGGAACGAAAUCGGAAGGAAUAUCAACGGCGGAGACGGAGACUGCGGAGGUGGAGGUGGGGGUAUAACCAGCGACGACGUUUUUUAAGGCGGCGACCAUGAUGGAGGUUUCGUGUUCAGGAGACAGACGAUGAACCGAUGGCGGCGGUACUGGGGUAAGUCUCUGUCUUUUCAUGGGCUUCUGCAUAAGCUUGGUAGCGACUUGUACUGAGAUUUGUCCUUUGAGGAUUUGGCUUCGCUUUUUCAGGUAUUUUUUUC
rnacentral:lncRNA from 1 species